rnacentral:misc_RNA from 1 species
CUGUGAUUACCAAUUAAUUAUAGAUUUAACCUUGAAGAUGUAUGAUCGAAACGUCAAUAAGUAUGCUGUGAUAUAUACUAAUUACACUGUCACCGGGGAAGGUACUGAAGGAGGCACCCUAUUUUCUGCAGGAAUCUCAACAUAUUUUGAGAGGAUUGCUCGGAACUCAUCACCGGUCAUCGUUUCUUUCUCAAGUAGGAUUUCCACAAUCUUGUCAAUAGCUUCACGGUUGUUCCUUAUGUGGCCCAAUGCAAUACCAUACGCGCUAUCCGAUAUCCUCUUGACAGCAGCAUCAAUAUCUUCUGCGAGCUUUUCUGACAUUGAAUUCCUUGCCAUCAUUCUCAUAAUGACAUCAGCACUUUGAGCUGAGGAGUCCAUGAGUGACCAUGGACCAAUUUCAGACAUUCC